AUUUAACUGACGAGUCCCAAAGAGGACGAAACCUGAAU
rnacentral:hammerhead_ribozyme from 1 species